rnacentral:rRNA from 1 species
UACGGAGGGUGCUAACGUUGUUCGGAAUCAUUGGGCGUAAAGCGCGCGUAGGCGGCUAUCCAGGUCGGGUGUGAAAUCCCGGGGCUCAACCCCGGACUUGCGCUCGAAACCGGAUGGCUCGAGUCCCGGAGGGAGAAGUGGAAUUCCAGGUGUAGGGGUGAAAUCCGUAGAUAUCUGGAGGAACACCAGUGGCGAAGGCGACUUCUUGGCCGAGGACUGACGCUGAGGUGCGAAAGCGUGGGGAGCAAACAGG